AACCUUAUGGACCUGCGGGCGUAUACCUGCGGAAGGAUCAUUACACAAUAAACAUAUGAAGGCUGCACCGCCAACAGGCGGCAAGGCUGGAGUAUUUUAUUACCCUUGUCUUUUGCGCACUUGUUGUUUCCUGGGCGGGUUCGCCCGCCUCCAGGACCACAUGAUAAACCUUUUUUAUGCAGUUGCAAUCAGCGUCAGUACAACAAAUGUAAAUCAUUUACAACUUUUAGCAACGGAUCU
rnacentral:misc_RNA from 1 species